UACGGAGGGUGCGAGCGUUGUCCGGAAUUACUGGGCGUAAAGCGCGUGUAGGCGGUUGCCAUAGUCAGGUGUGAAAGCCUUGAGCUUAACUCAAGAAAUGCACUUGAUACUGGGCGACUAGAGGACCGGAGAGGAUAGUGGAAUUCCCAGUGUAGUGGUGAAAUACGUAGAGAUUGGGAAGAACACCAGUGGCGAAGGCGGCUAUCUGGACGGUUUCUGACGCUAAGACGCGAAAGCGUGGGGAGCAAACAGG
rnacentral:rRNA from 1 species